rnacentral:rRNA from 1 species
AUUGAACGCUGGCGGCAUGCCUUACACAUGCAAGUCGAACGGUAACGCGGGGCAACCUGGCGACGAGUGGCGAACGGGUGAGUAAUACAUCGGAACGUGCCUAGUAGUGGGGGAUAGCCCGGCGAAAGCCGGAUUAAUACCGCAUACGACCUACGGGUGAAAGGGGGGGAUCGCAAGACCUCUCGCUAUUAGAGCGGCCGAUGUCAGAUUAGGUAGUUGGUGGGGUAAAAGCCUACCAAGCCGACGAUCUGUAGCUGGUCUGAGAGGACGACCAGCCACACUGGGACUGAGACACGGUCCAGACUCCUACGGGAGGCAGCAGUGGGGAAUUUUGGACAAUGGGCGCAAGCCUGAUCCAGCCAUGCCGCGUGCAGGAAGAAGGCCUUCGGGUUGUAAACUGCUUUUGUCAGGGAAGAAAUCCCUUGGGUUAAUACCUCGGGGGGAUGACGGUACCUGAAGAAUAAGCACCGGCUAACUACGUGCCAGCAGCCGCCGUAAAAC